rnacentral:rRNA from 1 species
UACGUAGGGGGCAAGCGUUGUCCGGAAUCAUUGGGCGUAAAGAGCGUGUAGGCGGCCCGGUAAGUCCGCUGUGAAAGUCCAGGGCUCAACCCUGGGAUGCCGGUGGAUACUGUCGGGCUCGAGUCCGGAAGAGGAGUGUGGAAUUCCUGGUGUAGCGGUGGAAUGCGCAGAUAUCAGGAGGAACACCAAUGGCGAAGGCAGCUCGCUGGGACGGUACUGACGCUAAGGCGCGAAAGCGUGGGGAGCGAACAGG